GAUGUGGCUCAGUUGGUAGAGUGCUUGCCUAGCAUGCACAAGGCCCUGGGUUCAAUCCCCAGAACAACA
rnacentral:tRNA from 1 species